rnacentral:rRNA from 1 species
UGGGGAAUCUUGCGCAAUGGUCUAACGACUGACGCAGCGACGCCGCGUGUGGGAGGACGCCUUUCGGGGUGUAAACCACUGUUGCCCGGGACGAACAGCCUUUUUCGAGAGGUCUGACGGUACCGGGUGAGGAAGCACCGGCUAACUCCGUGCCAGCAGCCGCGGUAAUACGGAGGGUGCGAGCGUUGUCCGGAAUCAUUGGGCGUAAAGGGCGCGUAGGUGGCCCAGUCAGCGUGCGGUGAAAGCUCGGGGCUCAACCCCGAGUCGGCCGUGCGAACUACUGGGCUGGAGCACUGUAGAGGCAGGCGGAAUUCCGGGUGUAGCGGUGGAAUGCGUAGAGAUCCGGAAGAACACCGGUGGCGAAGGCGGCCUGCUGGGCAGUUGCUGACACUGAGGCGCGACAGCGUGGGGAGCAAACA